AAACUGCUGCGACACCUGUUUGUCCCGACUGAUUUUUGGGAGCCAUCUUUGCUUCCUGCCUCUAUUUUGACUGACUUCUAGUUUGCUUUCUUCAUGUGUCUCACCUGACUGCAGGAUCCCUGGAAGCUGAGCUAAGGACUUUGGUCAAGCUUUUCUGGUUGGGUUUGUAGCUGCUGUGACAAAGUUGGUUCAUGUUCCUCAAAGUUUCCUGCUGAAAUGUCUCUUAAACUGCACUUGACUGACUGACUGACUGAAAUGACUCAUCAUAACCUCCGUUGACUCGCAACACUCGAACGUCAAACCGUUACCUACACAAGCGAAAUAUCAAAUGAAGCUUCAUUUGUUGUUAGUCAUGUGAUUUCUUCCGCUUCGACUCGUGCUGUGAAACCGUGCUGCGUUUGGGUGUCACUGGUGUUGAUUCUUCUUCAUCCUGUUUGUGUAUCUGCUGGAAGAUGUUGGCUAGUCUCACUCUACUCCACAGCUGCCAGUCUGCUUCCUGAGAGACCAACUGGACCAACUCUCCCCUGCCUCUGGACCACCAGGCUCUGGCGGUCACGCCAGACAGCUCACCUCACGCUGGGUUUAUCUCUAGAAUUCCUCACUGAGUCUUCCUGUGAAGCUAAUCUGCGCUGCUCUCUAGAUCCUUCAGUAAAACCUCCUGCAUCCACUGAAGGUUCUUCUCUCCAACAUCCCAGGAAUCAAUGCUCCAAUUGUUCUCCUCAGUGACUCCAACACAGCUGCACCGAUGAAGUGAAGGUCAUCCUCCACAGCUCUCAUCUGAGAUCUGGUCCAUCUGUUGCUCCAGCUGCAAGGUCAAAGUUCAGCUGACCAAACUGCUGAUGCUGGUGAGCUUCCUAGACAUCUUCUGUACCAUCUUCAGUCACCUGAGCCAGAACUGAGUGCAUUGAGUGCUUGAACUCAUUACUGCAGACGACCAUGGACUUGAUGGGCUGACUCGCCACCAGACUGGAACUAAAGUGGACUUCAGGAGUUCUUGAACGUUGUGGGUCAGACAUUCAUGAGUGUGGAGCGCCACCUACUGCACACUAGUGAGACCAAGGUGGAGUCAGUUGGAAAAGAAGGCCUCGUCCCAUCAAGCUCCACCAGCUCUCUGACCUUCUCCCACAGUAAAUGACCCUGGUCUACAGCCAGUCGUAGAGGUUCCAGUGCCCUCAACACCACCCAGGCCGUCACUACUGAAUGUGGAGGGCAACAAUGUGGUGACCUGCAUCAUGGAGUCUUCAGGAAAUGCUGUUCAUUUCCACUCUGAUUUGACCUUCUGUUUAUUUCCAGGACAAACAUGUCCUUCUCAUCAGCUUGGACUCGGAGGAGGCCAAAUUUAACUCUGACUCUCUUUCAGGAGGAGAUCUGCUGUGUGGUCAGGUUUGACUUCAAAAAGUCCCGGGUUUUAGGAGGCUGAUUUCCUCCACCAAGAACUGAAGUAGACUGAAGCUGCCGUUGUGGUUUUUCUGUCAUUGAAUCUCCUCUGUGGUGAAAGUCUUGUCUUCUCUGCUCCCUUUUGUGUCCUGCCCCAGUAGACUAAGAAUUUCCAAAAACUGAAGAGGAACAUGUGGAUCCAAAUGGAGUCCUGUCAGCUUCAGCAGCUUCUGUUUGAAUAAAGGACUUUGAUUCUGAGGUGCACAGGUCUGUUACUGUGGUGAAAUGUCUUGUGUUUUUACCUCCAACCACCCAGUGCUGGAGUAUACAUCCUCGCUGCAGUUGCUCCAGUACUGAUGUGUUUCACACCUGGUCCUACAGUGUAUCUACUGUGAUCUAUCCAACCUGGAUAGAUCACAGUAGAUACCAGAUCAUCCUAUAGAUGUUCUGCACAUGAUUUACAUGGUGUGUUUAUCCACAGCAAUGUCUUGUUCAAGUGAAUAAAACAGGGGGCCGAGUCGGCAUUUAAAACCAGCCAUUUAAAGAACAUUUCUUUUUUGUUUGAACCUUGGUCCGGUUGCCAUCUUCAAACCUUCUGCUGCGCGAUGACCCAGGUCACUGAGCUCUUCCAAACAUUACCUGUGUUCCACUUUGUCUCUUCUAUAUCCAGUGAUUUAUUCCUGUGUAUCACUGAUAUACAAAGGUUUGGGCCCCAGAGACUGAGCCUUGUUGAACUCCACUCUCACGGUUCUAGUGCUGCUCCAUCUGCUUCUAAGGAUGUCUGAAUACAGUUGUAGUUCUGCUCUGUUCCUCUCGAGCCACUGCAUUCAACAUAUUACUCAUCACUCCAUUGUAUUUUUUUUAAAUGGUGCUUUUCCUCUGUCAUUUGAAUAUCAGUCUCUCACACCUCCACAUCAUCAAACAUCGUGGUCCUUGAGACUCUAACCAUCACCACAGCAAAUGAGAGCUGAGGUGAGACCAGAGGGUGUCUCUCACUUCAGCUCUGUCCUCAUCCAUGUUCUUCACUACCCUCACAUACUCCUCACUUCCUCCAACAGUAACUUCCUCUCUGACUGCUGACAUAGACUUUCUGGACAAUGACAACUGCUGCAGCUCUCUGACCUCCAUCCUGUCUUCAACAAUUUGAAACAGUAAACUGUUUUUCUUCGUCAGACAUGAACACUUUUGCAUCGACUGACGAUUCCUCUCCUCACACCUCCAUCUGUAACCACUGUGGUCCAUCACUCUCCUUCCAGACUUUAUUCCUAGUCGUAGCAAACAAGCUGAGCGCUGGUCUCGUCACCUCUGUCAUCAAACAUGUUCUGAACUACCCUCACAUCCUCAAACUGCAGUACACUUCCACUGGAUGUCCUCAAAGCAAAUGUACGUUCUGUCAAUAUGCUGGUAGCCUGUUGACAUAGCCACGCAAUGUCAUCCUGUUUGUAUUCUGUGAUAUGUAUUUAUUUUACCUCUCAUUGAAUAGUGCUGCUCUAGUUUCCCAGCCUGAAAUCAAUAGUCAGUCUUUCAGGAGAACUCAACUGCCUGUCUACUGCAUCAUGGUGGUUGAAUUGUAUUCACUAGUCAUUCUGUCUCAUCCCUGCACCUCACCUCUGCCCUCACGUGUUUCACCAUACUUCCUCUCUCACUGUGCCAUGGACUUUGUACAACUUCUGCAGCCCUUCUUUUCUCUGUCCUCAUGUCUGGUCUCCUGUUUGAACUCAUCAGUCCAUAUCUUUUUACUGUGGUUUGUCAGUGAGUAGUUUAACAUUAGUUUAGAGCAGCUUCCUGGUCUCUCCCAUUUGUUGUCCGAUAUCGGCUGAGCUGCUUUGUCAUGUCUCUCUCAAACACAUUGUUCAUCUGCUGCUCAUUCUCCAGCAACAUGUUUGGAGAAAGUUGUCUUCCACAGGUUUCUCCCCUCUAAUGCUCAAACUGUACUUUGUUUCGUGAAAGAGUAAAAUUAAAAAUUCUAGAUUUGAGUCAUGGCUGGUCAUUUUGGCGUGAUUGGGUA